rnacentral:rRNA from 1 species
UACGUAGGUGGCGAGCGUUGUCCGGAAUUACUGGGCGUAAAGGGCGCGUAGGCGGACAGUCUAGUCAGAGGUGAAAGCCCAGGGCUCAACCUUGGAAUUGCCUUUGAUACUGGCUGUCUUGAGUACGGGAGAGGUGAGUGGAACUCCGAGUGUAGAGGCGAAAUUCGUAGAUAUUCGGAAGAACACCAGUGGCGAAGGCGACUCACUGGCCCGUUACUGACGCUGAGGCGCGAAAGCGUGGGGAGCAAACAGGAUUAGAUACCCUGGUAGUCCACGCCGUAAACGAUGAGUGCUAGUUGUCGGCAUGCAUGCAUGUCGGUGACGCAGCUAACGCAUUAAGCACUCCGCCUGGGGAGUACGGUCGCAAGAUUAAA